rnacentral:tRNA from 1 species
UGUUGCUGUGCCAGAUAAGUGGGCUACUUUGAUGUUGUAAGAACGUGUUAUAGACUAGCACAC